CCACAGUAUGAGUUAUAAAACCUAGCAGUCAAACGGUUCCAUUCAUUUUUCCCCAUAGGGGAUGUUAGAAACACUUAAGGGCUUUGUUCCCUGUGGGCUUUGUUCCCUGUAGGCUUACCCUGGUGUGACGUUUCGAUAACCCUGGAAAUCUCUCUAGGACAAGGUGACUUUUCAAUGUAUUUGCUUACGUCACACCCUCCAUGAAGAGCUUACCACCGCCCUGCUAGUUUUCUGUUCUACCUGAUAAUUGUACCCACCUGUUGUCCUAGUUCUAAAUCAGUCCCUGAUUAGAGGAACAAUGAAAACAUGCAGUGGAACUAGACUAGUUGACUUCUUCGAUAUCUAAGGGCUAGAUUCAAUCAGAUUGAAAUAGUGUCUUGGUGGAACGCAUUAGAGCUGUCAAAUCCACAAGCAGCUUGUUGCCAUUGAAUGCAAUGAAACCACACCUGACAAAUUCCAUGCAUCAGAAUCUGCAUAAUGAAUACCACCCAGAUGUUUCAGCGGUGUGAGCAGUUGCUCGUGUGUCAAACUACUCCCUUAUUAUCCCUACUGUGUUAAAGUUCAAAACGGCGUUAGAAAUAACGACUCAAAUGUCAAACCAUUGCUGUUAGGGUACGCAUGUUUACUCCAAACGGAAGUUUUCCAAUGGAAAAAAACACUUCUGUUCCGUUUGCAACAGAAUCGAGGUAAUGAAUACGGCCCCAGACAAGUUUCAAGCAGGUGAAAGACCCAACGGACAAAACAAACCUCUCAACAUUUCAUUUAUUGUAAACCCAGUACAACUUCAAAAAUGGAAAAAGAAACCCCAUGUAAUAAAUUAGUGUUCAAUUUACAUUCGACUUCUGAGAAACAUAUAAUUUCAUAGUAUAAACUGGUCUGGAAAAGAUCAAAGCCACUGAGGCAGCCAACUUCAAAGCACUUCAUGUCGCAGGCAUUCAAACGCAGACAUGUCUCGAUUAAAUAGAGGCCUUACAGAAGGACCUUAUUACCCAUGUACUGUCUGAAACAGAUUACAAUUUAGGCUUCUCUAAGUCUGAAGAGUUCCAAGUAAAUCAUACCAUAAUAGUAUACUAGAUACUUUGGACCAGUUACCAACUGACUCAUGGCAUUCCACCACCAGUGGUUACCAACUAGAUUGAAAUGUUAAGUUUACACAAGCUGUGUUUUGACAGACCAAUGACGUAAAUCUGAUUAUCCAUCUCAACGACAACAAUAUAGAAGCCUCCGCAGUAACACUAUCAUUCCCUAUCACCACCUCCAACCGUGGUAAGCACUCGCUGUUCAAGUCACAGAGAUGGCCAAUCCUUUAGGCAAACAUGACAUGGAUCAAUCCCUGAUAAUGUUGAAAUUUGCCAGCAUCCACCUUGACAAUCAACUUAGUCCAUAUGUGACCUAUGCACACCACUAAUGCUCAACACCUUCAUUUUAUCAUCCUAAGGCCCUACCUUAACAGUUACCGAAAUAGCUUCCUCUCCUGGGCCCAGAUUCACUAGACCUUAACUAUAGACUUGAAGAAAGUUGUUAUUCCUCAAAAGGUUAUUGGACAUUUUCUUGCUCUAUUUCUCCUUAAGAAGAAAUUUGGUUCUUAAUUCCAAGUUAGCUAAACUCUUGGCAGUGCGAGAAAAAGCUCAUGAAAGCAGUUUAAUUCACACAAACUUCAUCUGAAAGUUUCAGUAUUGAUCAUUUUAAACCCAAUAACAUGUUUUAGAACAGUAAUCGCAGUAUGAAAUAUGCUAACAUGAUUGCCAUUGUGAGAUAAGUUGCCAAGAAAUGAAGAUUUGUAAGAAGAUAGAGGAAUUGCACUUAAAAUAUCUUGUGAACGUAUUUUUCGUAAGAAGUGUUUUGUGAAUCUGGGCCCUGGCAUUGAAAGAAAGGAGAUGGGCCAUUGCGAUUUAUACUUGCUCAACAUCUAACACCAACAUGUGUGUAAGAAUAAGUGCACUGACAAACUACCCAGCUGAGUGGAUGUGUAAUGCAGAGUUGAGCAAAGUAGCUGGUUGGAGCAGAUGAGCGGGCUGUUUGAGUGACGUGUGUCUGUUAUCUGCGUAUCCAGAGCCAUCCGUUGAGCAGGCAGGCAGAAAGGAACAGGGAGAAGAGCACCAGCUCAGUCUGUCUCCGUUCAGCGUUCUGCUUCUCCAGACCCACCAGACGACGACUCAUCUUCACCACCUGGACACGAGAAAGGCGCUGAUCUGUUAUACUGCACUGUGCUGCUGUGCCUCCCAUGCAGGCCCCAGGGGGAGGGCUGCGCCUUGCUUGGAUGACGUGAACAGUGGAUGGGGGCUCAUGUCCGGGGCAUCUAUUAGCCUACCCCCAGACCAACCAUGUCCCCACCUCUGAGAGACAGCCUGUCUGGGAUGUGCAUGCUGUAAGAAGCGGGACAGUCAGCACACUCCUGCCUCUCCUCUUCCCAUCUCUGUCCCAUGCCUGGCCCCACUCUCAGCCGGUCGGGGACACGCAUCUUCUGGUUGAUGGCCUCAGAGAAGAUGGGGUCACGGCCGCCACGCACCUGGGAAACGUCACCCCGAAACUCCGAAGAAGCCAUGGUAGCACUGGCAGCUGCUGUUUUAAGAUCAAAAUGUGUUACAACUUCUGAAGUCACAGUGCAUCUUUGACAAGCCUAUACUACCCCUGUAAGACUAUACUUGGAUGUAGUUAGCUGAAUAGGCAACAGGAUUAGUCAAAUGUUAGUAGGUUCAUUUUCAUGCAGUGUGGAUUAGCUGGAACUAUCCUGUGUUAUUCUUUGGGUGCUUAAAUCCAGUCCGCCCACAAUGGUCGCCGCCCAACUCCAUCGUAAAUCUUUGAGUUUAAUUGGCUAGGGGCCUGUCAAAUCAUUGCAGAUGGCAGGCAACUCAAUUCAAUUAAUGUGAGAACUGCGUACCUAGGUAGCUAGUUGUCUGAUUAAUCAGGCUGUAUACACAAUGAAUUGGUAUAUACAGCCUUGAAGUAAUGCCUGCAAAUCAUGUACAUUUUCCUUACAAGACAGAAUGUUUAAUUAAAUUACAUUUAAACUUAC